UACAGAGGGGGCGAGCGUUGUUCGGAAUUACUGGGCGUAAAGGGCGCGUAGGCGGCCUGCUAAGUCAUACGUGAAAUCCCUCGGCUCAACCGAGGAACUGCGUCUGAUACUGGUUGGCUUGAAUUCGGGAGAGGGAUGCGGAAUUCCAGGUGUAGCGGUGAAAUGCGUAGAUAUCUGGAGGAAUACCGGUGGCGAAGGCGGCAUCCUGGACCGACAUUGACGCUGAUGAGCGAAAGCUAGGGGAGCAAACGGG
rnacentral:rRNA from 1 species